UACGUAGGGGGCAAGCGUUGUCCGGAAUCAUUGGGCGUAAAGAGCGCGUAGGCGGCCCUGUAAGUCCGCUGUGAAAGUCAAGGGCUCAACCCUUGGAUGCCGGUGGAUACUGCAGGGCUAGAGUCCGGAAGAGGCGAGUGGAAUCCUGGUGUAGCGGUGAAAUGCGCAGAUAUCAGGAGGAACACCGAUGGCGAAGGCAGCUCGCUGGGACGGUACUGACGCUGAGGCGCGAAAGCGUGGGGAGCAACAGG
rnacentral:rRNA from 1 species